GUGGGGAAUUUUGGACAAUGGGCGCAAGCCUGAUCCAGCAAUGCCGCGUGCAGGAAGAAGGCCUUCGGGUUGUAAACUGCUUUUGUACGGAACGAAACGGUCCUGGUUAAUACCUGGGGCUAAUGACGGUACCGUAAGAAUAAGCACCGGCUAACUACGUGCCAGCAGCCGCGGUAAUACGUAGGGUGCGAGCGUUAAUCGGAAUUACUGGGCGUAAAGCGUGCGCAGGCGGUGCUGUAAGACAGGCGUGAAAUCCCCGGGCUCAACCUGGGAAUUGCGCUUGUGACUGCAGUGCUGGAGUGCGGCAGAGGGGGAUGGAAUUCCGCGUGUAGCAGUGAAAUGCGUAGAUAUGCGGAGGAACACCGAUGGCGAAGGCAAUCCCCUGGGCCUGCACUGACGCUCAUGCACGAAAGCGUGGGGAGCAAACAGGAUUAGAAACCCCUGUAGUCC
rnacentral:rRNA from 1 species